AGAAAUGUAAUCUAUUAGGGAUAUUUCAUUUACAAUGAGAAGGUGUUUUUACCAUUUUUA
rnacentral:tRNA from 1 species